AGAGAGAGACAGAGAUCCCCGCAGGCGGUUGCAGGCAGAGUCUUCAGACAUCAGCCGGAAUGCACUGCAGGAGUGUGACUGACUGGCUGACUGACAGAAAUAUGUCGCGUUGGAUUGUGUAAGUCUUUCGGCUUAAGCCACCACCACAGCGCUAGACACUCUUUCUCUCUGGCAUUCGUCUCCAGCGAUUUGUCAUCGAGGGUUCGAC
rnacentral:lncRNA from 1 species